rnacentral:rRNA from 1 species
AGAGUUUGAUCCUGGCUCAGAUUACGCUGGCGCAGCCUAACAAUGCAAGUCGAGGGUAGCACAGGAGCUGCUCCUGGGUGCGAGCGGGGACGGGUGAGUAAUGUCUGGGAACUGCCUGAUGGAGGGGGAUACUACUGGAAACGGUAGCUAAUACCGCAUAACGUCUACGGACCAAAGUGGGGGACUUCGGGCCUCAUGCCAUCAGAUGUGCCCAGAUGGGAUUAGCUAGUAGGUGGGGUAAUGGCUCACCUAGGCGACGAUCCCUAGCUGGUCUGAGAGGAUGACCAGCCACACUGGAACUGAGACACGGUCCAGAUCUCCUACGGGAGGCAGCAGUGGGGAAUAUUGCACAAUGCGCGCAAGCCAUGAUGCAGCCAUGCCGUGUGUGUGAAGGAAGGGCUUCGGGUUGUAAAGGCACUUUCAAGCGACGGAGGAAGGGUUGCAGUGUUA